rnacentral:rRNA from 1 species
AUGAACGCUGGCGGCGUGCCUAAUACAUGCAAGUCGAGCGAACAGAUGAGGAGCUUGCUCCUCUGACGUUAGCGGCGGACGGGUGAGUAACACGUGGAUAACCUACCUAUAAGACUGGGAUAACUUCGGGAAACCGGAGCUAAUACCGGAUAAUAUAUUGAACCGCAUGGUUCAAUAGUGAAAGACGGUUUUGCUGUCACUUAUAGAUGGAUCCGCGCCGCAUUAGCUAGUUGGUAAGGUAACGGCUUACCAAGGCAACGAUGCGUAGCCGACCUGAGAGGGUGAUCGGCCACACUGGAACUGAGACACGGUCCAGACUCCUACGGGGGGCAGCAGUAGGGAAUCUUCCGCAAUGGGCGAAAGCUUGACGGAGCAACGCCGCGUGAGUGAUGAAGGUCUUCGGAUCGUAAAACUCUGUUAUUAGGGAAGAACAAAUGUGUAAGUAACUAUGCACGUCUUGACGGUACCUAAUCAGAAAGCCACGGCUAACUACGUG